rnacentral:SRP_RNA from 1 species
CGGGAAAGUCUUGUACGACCAGCUCCCUCUGAACUCCCCCAGGACGGGAACGUAGCAAGGGUAGGAGGUUGUAGCGGUGCGAUACAAGGGGCUUUCCCU